GCGCGCUUUCCUUGCUCAGCGCUCAGCUCCUUCCUCCCCGCCGGGGGUCCUGUGCUCGGGCGUCUCCGCUAACUCUGCGCAGCCUGUGCGCCCUACGAGCCCCGGAGGUCCCUCGGGAGGACGGCGGGUCACCCCGGAGGAAGCAAGGAGGAGCCACCUGGGCUGCAUGCACUGAGAGUGGUCCCCAAGGCUGGGAGUGUGCUCAGCCACCAAGCGCGGGUUCCUGGUGAACUGCGGUGACAGGCUGCUUCCCUGAGCUGGGUCCUGUGUCCUCCAUCAGAUCUGCUGCCAUUCAGUUCCAGUUUGUCCCCAAGCACGUGCUGUGAGAUCCCCAGGAAGGAUGUCUGGACUCCCCAGAAGGCAGGAAAUGAUGCAGUCACACUGUGAGUCC